rnacentral:rRNA from 1 species
GACGAACGCUGGCGGCGUGCUUAACACAUGCAAGUCGAACGGAAAGGCCCUGCUUUUGUGGGGUGCUCGAGUGGCGAACGGGUGAGUAACACGUGAGUAACCUGCCCUUGACUUUGGGAUAACUUCAGGAAACUUGGGCUAAUACCGGAUAGGAGCUCCUGCUGCAUGGUGGGGGUUGGAAAGUUUCGGCGGUUGGGGAUGGACUCGCGGCUUAUCAGCUUGUUGGUGGGGUAGUGGCUUACCAAGGCUUUGACGGGUAGCCGGCCUGAGAGGGUGACCGGGCACAUUGGGACUGAGAGACGGACCAGACGCCUACGGGAGGCAGCAGUGGGGAAUAUUGCACAAUGGGCGGAAGCCUGAUGCAGCAACGCCGCGUGCGGGAUGACGGCCUUCGGGUUGUAAACCGCUUUCGCCUGUGACGAAGCGUGAGUGACGGUAAUGGGUAAAGAAGCACCGGCUAACUACGUG